rnacentral:rRNA from 1 species
AUGGCGACCAUAGCCACGAUGACCAUGCUCAAGCCCGCCAAGAUCACGGCCAGGUCGGCGCCUUCGUCGCCGUCGUCCAGCGCCAAGGUGGCGUCGCCGAGCAUCUCGCUGCGCAGCCUGCAGAAGAACGCGGCCAAGAAGGGAGCCCUGGCCGUGUCGCCGGCGGCCGCGGCCAUGGCGAGCGCCUUCUUCACCUCGCUGGCCUCGUCGGACGCGGCGAUGGCGUCGCAGCGGAUCGCGGACGUGGCGGCGGCGGCCCCCGCGGACGACAACCGGGGCCUGCUCCUGCUCUUCGUGGUGGCGCCCGCGCUCGGGUGGGUGCUCUACAACAUCCUCCAGCCGGCGCUGAACCAGCUCAACAAGAUGCGGUCCGAGAAGGCGCUCGUCGCCGGGCUCGGCAUCGGCGCCGCCGCGGCCGCCGGCCUGGCCGCCGUGCCGGAGCCGGCCUCCGCUGCCGUGCAGGAGCUGGCCGCGCUGGCGGCGGUCGCGCCGGCCGACGACAACCGGGGCCUGCUGCUGCUCUUCGUGGUGGCGCCCGCCCUCGGCUGGGUGCUCUACAACAUCCUGCAGCCGGCGCUGAACCAGCUCAACAAAAUGCGAUCCAACUGA